rnacentral:tRNA from 1 species
UCCCUGGUGGCUCAGAGGUUAAAGCGUCUGCCUGCAAUGUAGGAGACCUGGGUUCGAUCCCUGGGUUGGGAA